CUGAGUACUAGGCUAUGAGUAAAGAGAAAGAGACCGCACACGCAAAUCGAUUUAGUAUUCCAGUGUUUUAUUCAAUAUUUUGUUACGAGCUUGGAGGAUUUUUGAAAUGGUUGCUGGUUCAGGCCCAAGAAGCCCCCCAACGGUUCGGAACCCAGCAAUUGAUAUCAUCUUAAAGUAUGGUUGCCUACAAACCAAGUAUUCAAAAACUCAACUUAUUUUUGAUCGGAGUCACUCCCCUUCUGUACGGGGCUUUGCUGCUUCCUUCUUGUUGAUGUACUUUUAUCAUUUACGCAGUUCAGUCCUUGGUGUGCCCAUUCAUUUCUUGCGAUUCUGAAAGAUAUAAAGCAAAUUGAAUAUUAUAUAUUUUGAAACAUGUGUAUAUAUAUUAGAAAUAUACAAUAUAUUUA